CCAGACUCCUACGGGAGGCAGCAGUGGGGAAUAUUGGGCAAUGGGCGCAAGCCUGACCCGGCAACGCCGCGUGAAGGAAGAAGGCUUUCGGGUUGUAAACUUCUUUUAAGAGGGAAGAGUAGAAGACGGUACCUCUUGAAUAAGCCACGGCUAACUACGUGCCAGCAGCCGCGGUAAUACGUAGGGGGCAAGCGUUAUCCGGAUUUACUGGGUGUAAAGGGAGCGUAGACGGCAGUGCAAGUCCGGAGUGAAAGCCCGGGGCUCAACCCUGGGACUGCUCUGGAAACUGUAAAGCUGGAGUGCGGGAGGGGCAGGCGGAAUUCCUGGUGUAGCGGUGAAAUGCGUAGAUAUCAGGAGGAACACCGGCGGCGAAGGCGGCCUGCUGGACCGUAACUGACGUUGAGGCUCGAAAGCGUGGGGAGCAAACAGGAUUAGAUACCCCAGUAUGC
rnacentral:rRNA from 1 species